rnacentral:rRNA from 1 species
AGAGUUUGAUCCUGGCUCAGGAUGAACGCUAGCUACAGGCUUAACACAUGCAAGUCGAGGGGAAACGACAUCGAAAGCUUGCUUUUGAUGGGUCGUCGACCGGCGCACGGGUGAGUAACGCGUAUCCAACCUGCCCACCACUUGGGGAUAACCUUGCGAAAGUAAGACUAAUACCCAAAUGACGUCUCUAGAAGACAUCUGAAAGAGAUUAAAGAUUUAUCGGUGAUGGAUGGGGAUGCGUCUGAUUAGCUUGUUGGCGGGUAACGGCCACCAAGGCGACGAUCAGUAGGGGUUCUGAGAGGAAGGUCCCCCACAUUGGAACUGGAGACACGGUCCAAAACGUCCUACGGGAGGCCA